rnacentral:rRNA from 1 species
AUGCAAGUCGAACGGGACCGGGGGCAACUUCGGUUCAGUGGCGGACGGGUGCGUAACACGUGAGGAACAUGACCUUCGGCGGGGGAUAGCCGGCCCAACGGCCGGGUAAUACCGCGUACGACCAUUAGAGGACAUCCUUUGAUGGUGAAAGCAGCAAUGCGCCGAUGGAGUGCCUCGCGGCCUAUCAGCUAGUUGGUGGGGUAACGGCUCACCAAGGCAACGACGGGUAGCUGGUCUGAGAGGAUGGCCAGCCACAUUGGGACUGAGACACGGCCCAGACUCCUACGGGAGGCAGCAGUGGGGAAUAUUGCGCAAUGGACGAAAGUCUGACGCAGCGACGCCGCGUGUGGGAUGACGGUCUUCGGAUUGUAAACCACUGUCGGGAGGGACGAAUACGCCGCAAGGCGGGUGACGGUACCUCCAAAGGAAGCACCGGCUAACUCCGUGCCAGCAGCCGCGGUAAUACGGAGGGUGCGAGCGUUGUCCGGAAUCACUGGGCGUAAAGGGCGCGUAGGCGGCCUGAUAAGUAGGGGGUGAAAUCCUGCGGCUUAACCGCAGGGCUGCCUUCUAAACUGUCAGGCUGGAGCACAGUAGAGGCAGGUGGAAUUCCCAGUGUAGCGGUGGAAUGCGUAGAGAUCGGGAAGA